rnacentral:rRNA from 1 species
AUUGAACGCUGGCGGAAUGCUUUACACAUGCAAGUCGAACGGCAGCACGGACUUCGGUCUGGUGGCGAGUGGCGAACGGGUGAGUAAUGUAUCGGAACGUGCCCAGUCGUGGGGGAUAACGUAGUGAAAAUUACGCUAAUACCGCAUACGAUUUAUGGAUGAAAGCGGGGGAUCGCAAGACCUCGCGCGAUUGGAGCGGCCGAUAUCAGAUUAGGUAGUUGGUGGGGUAAAGGCCCACCAAGCCAACGAUCUGUAGCUGGUCUGAGAGGACGACCAGCCACACUGGAACUGAGACACGGUCCAGACUCCUACGGGAGGCAGCAGUGGGGAAUUUUGGACAAGGGGCGAAAGCCUGAUCCAGACAUUCCGCGUGCAGGAUGAAGGCCCUCGGGUUGUAAACUGCUUUUGUACAGAACGAAAAGGUUUCUACUAAUACUAGGAGCUCAUGACGGUACUGUAAGAAUAAGCACCGGCUAACUACGUGCCAGCCGCCGCGGUAA